UCCCGAGAUCAGUUCUCCUUCCGGUAAGGGCCGGGGUAGAACACCCCGUCGACAGGCCGCAGGUGCAAGGGUCGCGAGGCCCUCAGCCGAGCGGUGCUGAUCGCCCGAGCUCUUACCCCCGACCCCCG
rnacentral:rRNA from 1 species